GGUAUCGAAAUCUUGGUCGGAGAGCCAGCCAAAAAACAGGCCACUAGAAACCUACGUAAUACAGUUUUCGAUGUCAAAAGACUGAUGGGUCGUAAAUUUGAUGACGAUACAGUUCAGGCCGAUAUGAAGCACUGGCCCUUCCAGCUCAUUAAUGAUAACAACAAUCCAAAAAUCGAUGUUACAUUCAAGGGCAUUUCUAAAACGUACUUCCCCGAAGAAAUAUCCUCGAUGGUUUUGGGAAAAAUGAAAGAUACAGCUGAAGCGUAUCUUGGUAAAACGGUCAAGAAUGCUGUAAUUACUGUACCCGCUUAUUUCAACGAUUCUCAAAGAGCUGCUACCGUGGAUGCUGCGAAAAUCGCCGGUUUGAACGUAUUACGUAUCAUUAAUGAACCUACUGCUGCCGCCAUUGCUUACGGUCUAGAAGAAAGAAGUUCCGACGUGCAAAACGUAUUGAUUUUCGAUCUCGGUGGCGGAACUUUUGAUGUCUCAAUUCUAACACUCCAUAACGGUGUCUUCGAAGUGAUUUCAACUGCCGGUGACACUCACUUGGGUGGCGAAGAUUUUGAUAAUAAAAUGAUCAAUUAUUUCGUCGAAGAAAUCAAACGUAAAUACAAUAAAGAUCUCGCCGAAAACAAGAGAGCCCUGCACCGUCUACGAGUUGCUUGCGAAGGAGCGAAGAGAACUUUAUCAUCAGCCACCGUAGCCGAUAUCGAAAUUGAAUCUCUUUACGAUGGCGUCGAUUUCUACAGUUCAAUCUCUCGUGCUCGUUUUGAAGAACUGAACUCGGACUUCUUCAAAAAGGCAAUGGAACUGGUUGAAAAAACCAUCCGAGACGCAGCUGUUGAAAAAACUCAAAUUCACCAAGUCGUUUUAGUGGGAGGCUCAUCGCGCAUUCCCAAAAUACAGAAAAUGCUACGAGAUUUCUUCGACGGGAAGGAACUGAGCAAAUCGAUUAAUCCUGAUGAGGCCGUAGCGUAUGGAGCUGCUGUACAAGCUGCCAUACUAAACGGUGUCAAAUCGAAAGAAGUACAAAACAUACUGUUGAUGGAUGUUACACCAAUGUCGUUAGGAAUCGAGGUUACAAAUAGAAGCGGAGGUGAUCAUAAAAUGUCCGUGGUUAUCGAACGUAACACUCCAAUUCCAGUCCGACAAACUAAAGUUUUUCAUACAUCUAUUGAUAAUCAAACCAGUCUACCGUUUAAAGUAUUGGAGGGAGAGUUUGUUUUUUCGAAGGAUAAUCAUUUACUUGGUCAAUUUAGACUUACUGGAAUUCCUCCUAAACCCGCCGACGAAGCUAAAUUUGAUACAACUUUUGAAAUCGAUGCUAAUGGUAUAUUGAACGUAACCGCCGUUGAAAGAUCUACCCGUAGAACAAACCAACUGACCAUAACGUACGAUAAAGGUCGUCUCAGUAAACAUGAAAUUGAGCGUAUGAUCGAGGACGCUGAAAAAUUGCGAGCCGAUGAAAAAACCCGGAAAGGAACAUUAGUCGCCAAGAAUGCUUUAGAAACCUACUGUGUUAACGUAAAAAGCGCAAUACGAGAUGAAGAAUUGAAUAGUAAAAUGAAUGUAUUUGAUAAAGACUUGAUUUUGAAGAAAUGCGAAGAAACCAUUGUCUGGUUGAAUUCCGACCUGUAUGGUGAAAAAGAAUUAUUCGGGCGUAAGCAAGAAGAAUUACAAAAAAUAUUCGAUAUAAUCAUUUCGAUAGCCCGCUGUCCUAGUGAAGAAAACGACAAAUAUUGUGAAAUGUUGAACGUGACAAAAGAUGCUUCCGAAGAUGAAAUAAAAAAUUCCUUCAGGGAAAUAGCUUUCAAAUAUCACCCCGAUGUGUACGAAGGGGACAAGGAAGUAGGACAAAUGUAUUGGUUGACCUUUUUGCAAGCGAAAAUUUCUCUCAUCAAUCUAGCAAAGAGAGCACGCGGUAAAAACAGCAGUGCAUGAAUUAUUCGAAAAAUUCAAGUACAGGUACCUAACUUUACCGUUUAUUCGAUUUCAAUUUCAUCAUUUUCGAACUUUGUGGUUCUGAUGAUUUUAAAUAGGUACCGCGGGUUUUUAUUUUAUCGCUGGCGAUUUUACCAGAAAUUUAAUCAACAGUGCCUGUGAUAAUUAGCUUAAAAUGUUUUUGUUCAAUGUGUAAUUUAUUAUGAUAACUAGGUAUAUCAUUUUUACUUUGUUUGAUACUGGUAUGCUAUUUUUUUUUUCGGGACUAUGGUACCUAUAGCUAUUGUAUGAAUUAAUGUACCUACUCGCUGAAAUAAUGUUGAUUGUAUCAAUGUUACAAAUAAAUUAAAAUGCAA